GGGGUACACGAGCGGGCGAACGGUGAGUACACGUGAGUAUCUGCCCUUCACUUCGGGAUAAGCCUCGGAAACGGGGUCUAAUACCGGAUACGACACUCCUUCGCAUGAGGUGGGUGUGGAAGUUUUCGGUGGGGAUGUGCUCGCGGCCUAUCAGCUUGUUGGUGGGGUAAUGGCCUACCAAGGCUUCGACGGGUAGCCGGCCUGAGAGGGUGACCGGCCACACUGGGACUGAGACACGGCCCACACUCCUACGGGAGGCAGCAGUGGGAAUAUUGGACAAUGGGCGGAAGCUGAUCCAGCAACGCCGCGUGAGGGAUGACGGCCUUCGGGUUGUAAACCUCUUUCAGUACCGACGAAGCGAAAGUGACGGUAGGUACAGAAGAAGCACCGGCCAACUACGUGCCAGCAGCCGCGGUAAUACGUAGGGUGCGAGCGUUGUCCGGAAUUAUUGGGCGUAAAGGGCUCGUAGGCGGUUUGUCACGUGGGAGUGAAAACACUGGGCUUAACUCAGUGCUUGCUUUCGAUACGGGACUAGAGUAGAGGCAUGCAGGGAGAACGAAUUCCUGGUGUAGCGGUGAAAUGCGCAGAUAUCAGAGAACACCGGUGGCGAAGCGUUCUCUGGCAUGUCCUGACGCUGAGGAGCGAAAGUGUGGGAGCGAACAGA
rnacentral:rRNA from 1 species